CAGCAGCCGCGGUAAUACGUAGGUGGCAAGCGUUGUCCGGAAUUAUUGGGCGUAAAGCGCGCGCAGGUGGUUCCUUAAGUCUGAUGUGAAAGCCCACGGCUCAACCGUGGAGGGUCAUUGGAAACUGGGGGACUUGAGUGCAGAAGAGGAAAGUGGAAUUCCAAGUGUAGCGGUGAAAUGCGUAGAUAUUUGGAGGAACACCAGUGGCGAAGGCGACUUUCUGGUCUGUAACUGACACUGAGGCGCGAAAGCGUGGGGAGCAAACAGGAUUAGAUACCCGCGUAGUCCCUGUCUCUUAUAA
rnacentral:rRNA from 1 species